rnacentral:rRNA from 1 species
CCUACGAGAGGCAGCAGUGGGGAAUAUUGCACAAUGGGGGGAACCCUGAUGCAGCGACGCCGCGUGAGUGAAGAAGUAUUUCGGUAUGUAAAGCUCUAUCAGCAGGGAAGAAAAUGACGGUACCUGGAUAAGAAGCCCCGGCCAACUACGUGCCAGCAGCCGCGGUAAUACGGAGGGGGCAAGCGUUAUCCGGAUUUACUGGGUGUAAAGGGAGCGCAGACGGCUGUGCAAGUCUGGAGUGAAAGGCCGGGGACCAACCCCCGGACUGCUCUGGAAACUGUAAAGCUGGAGUGCAGGAGAGGUAAGCGGAAUUCCUAGUGUAGCGGUGAAAUGCGUAGAUAUUAGGAGGAACACCAGUGGCGAAGGCGGCUUACUGGACUGCAACUGACGUUGAGGCUCGAAAGCGUGGGGAGCAAACAGGAUUAGAUACCCGGGUAGUC